CACUAAGUCACUAUUUCUUGAACUUUUAUAAUCGCACAACUUACAAACAAAAGGCUUCUCGCCAGUGUGAGUCCUCCUGGGGCUCGAUGAAGUACUGUUCUGACUGAAUUUGCGCUUUCUUAACUUACAUGAGAAAGUGUUAGCGUAAGUGUGCGCCCUAAUGUGGGUAACUAAGGAACUUUUCCGUUGAAAUAUCUUUUGGCAAACGUCACAGAUAUACUGUAUCUGGUCAGUAUAGUUUCCUAACUGUGUACCGGAUAUAUCCUGGGAAUUGUGUUUGU